ACGGCGUAAUGACUUCCCCGCUGUCUCCAACAUAGACUCAGUGAAAUUGAAUUCCCCGUGAAGAUGCGGGGUUCCUGCGGUCAGACGGAAAGACCCCG
rnacentral:rRNA from 1 species